GAUCCUGGCUCAGGAUGAACGCUAGCUACAGGCUUAACACAUGCAAGUCGAGGGGCAGCAUGUUGGUUGCUUGCAACCAACGAUGGCGACCGGCGCACGGGUGAGUAACGCGUAUCCAACCUACCCUUGUCCAUCGGAUAACCCGUCGAAAGGCGGCCUAACACGAUAUGCGGUUCUCAGCAGGCAUCUAACGGAGAANAAUAAGAAGAGAG
rnacentral:rRNA from 1 species